AUACGAAGGGGGCUAGCGUUGUUCGGAAUUACGGGGCGUAAAGCGCGCGUAGGCGGAUUGGUCAGUUAGGGGUGAAAUCCCAGGGCUUAACCCUGGAACUGCCUCUAAUACUGCCAGUCUUGAGUUCGGGAGAGGUGAGUGGAAUUCCUAGUGUAGAGGUGAAAUUCGUAGAUAUUAGGAAGAACACCAGUGGCGAAGGCGGCUCACUGGCCCGAUACUGACGCUGAGGCGCGAAAGCGUGGGGAGCAAACAGGAUUAGAAACCCUAGUAGUCC
rnacentral:rRNA from 1 species